rnacentral:rRNA from 1 species
AUUGAACGCUGGCGGAAUGCUUUACACAUGCAAGUCGAACGAUGAACCUUAGCUUGCUAGGGGGAUUAGUGGCGAACGGGUGAGUAAUAUAUCGGAACGUACCUUGUAAUGGGGGAUAACUAGUCGAAAGAUUAGCUAAUACCGCAUACGCCCUGAGGGGGAAAGUAGGGGAUCCUCGGACCUUACGUUAUAAGAGCGGCCGAUAUCUGAUUAGCUAGUUGGUGGGGUAAUGGCCUACCAAGGCGACGAUCAGUAGCUGGUCUGAGAGGACGACCAGCCACACUGGAACUGAGACACGGUCCAGACUCCUACGGGAGGCAGCAGUGGGGAAUUUUGGACAAUGGACGCAAGUCUGAUCCAGCCAUGCCGCGUGCGGGAAGAAGG